GUGUUUGCUUUGGCAGCUCAAAUGCUGAAACUGGAACCACACAGAGAAGGUUAGCAUGGCUUCUCUGCAGGGAUGGCAUGCAAAUUUGUGAAGCAUUCCGUUUUUUU